GGUUGAUCCUGCCAGUAGUCAUAUGCUUGUCUCAAAGAUUAAGCCAUGCAUGUCUAAGUAUAAACAUCUUUAUACUGUGAAACUGCGUACAGCUCAUUAUAUCAGUAAUUAUUUAUUUGAUGGUACCUUACUACAUGGAUACCCGUAGUAAUUCUAGAGCUAAUACAUGCGUAAAGUCUCGACUCGCAAGGGGAGAGAUGUAUUUAUUAGAUUAAAAACCAAUGCGGCUCUGCCGGUUAUGUGGUGAAUCAUAGUAACUGUUCGAAGCGCAUAGCCUUGUGCUGGCGCUAGUU
rnacentral:rRNA from 1 species